rfam:Allomyces macrogynus ATCC 38327 genomic scaffold supercont3.16, whole genome shotgun sequence.
GGCCUCGUGGAGAAAUGGUCAACUCGUUGGUUUUCGGCACCAAAGAUUGUCGGUUCGAGUCCGGCCGGGGUCG